UACGGAGGUGGCAAGCGUUGCUCGGAAUCACUGGGCGUAAAGGGCGCGUAGGCGGGGAGGUAAGUCGGGUGUGAAAUCCCUCGGCCCAACCGAGGAACUGCGCCCGAGACUGCUUCUCUUGAGUCCCGGAGAGGAAGAUGGAAUUCCCGGUGUAGCGGUGAAAUGUGUAGAGAUCGGGAGGAACACCGGUGGCGAAGGCGGCUUCCUGGACCGACACUGACGCUGAGGCGCGAAAGCUAGGGGAGCAAACGGG
rnacentral:rRNA from 1 species